UAUGGUUGCCAAAGCUGAAACUUAAAGGAAUUGACGGAAGGGCACCACCAGGAGUGGAGCCUGCGGCUUAAUUUGACUCAACACGGGAAACCUCACCCGGCCCGAACACUGUUAUGACAGACAGGUUGAGAGCUCUUUCUCGAUUCAGUGGUUGGUGGUGCAUGGCCGUUCUUAGUUCGUGGAGCGAUCUGUCUGGUUAAUUCCGAUAACGAACGAGACUCUCGCCUGCUAAAUAGACGGCGCCGACGUACGCGCGGCGACCGCGCAGCUUCUUAGAGGGACAAGCGGCGUUUAGCCGCGUGAAGCCGAGAGCAAUAACAGGUCAGUGAUGCCCUCAGAUGUUCGGGGCCGCACGCGCGCUACACUGUUUGCAUCAGCGUGUCUCUCCCUCGCCGGCGGGCGCGGGCAACCCGUUGAAACGCAAACGUGCUAGGGAUCGGAGAUUGCAAUUGUUCUCCGUCAACGAGGAAUUCCUUGUACUUGCGAGUCAUCAGCUCGCGGGGAAUCUGUCCCUGCCCUUUGUACACACCGCCCGUCGCUACUACCGAUUGAGUGGUUUAGUGAGGCUCGCGGACGGCGCGCGGCAACCGUCGGGUUCGCCCGUCGCGUCGCGCGCCGGAAGCGAGACGAACUUGAUCACUUCUAGGAAGUAAAAGUCGUAACAAGGUUUUCGUAGGUGAACCUGCGGNAAGGAUCA
rnacentral:rRNA from 1 species